AAACCCCAGCACCUGCAGUGUUCUGCUUCCUGACACGCCAUCCUCUGCAUGCAUGCGCCACACCCAUGGCACCAAGCUCUGCUCCACACCGCACCACCGGCCUCCCGCAGAGAGGGGGCGCUCUCUUGCCCGGGCCUACCCUCGCCUCCCACUCUCUCCCCCAUGCAUCACGGGUGACAGCAUCAUCUCGCCUACCUCAGGCCUACCAGUGUGUGAUAAUGAGAUCUUUGAAGAGAAAGCAUGUCACUGCGGUUACAUGUGUGUGUGUUUGUGUGUACACAUGUAUGCGCAUGUGUGUGUGUGUACACACGUGCUUGUGUAAACGGACCGGCAGUUCCAAUGAGACUUCUUAAGACAAGCCUUCCAGUCAGCCAGCACUCACCAGCCCUGCUCUGCCAUGCUUAGAAACAAACCCACAAAAAGAGCCGGAAGUCAUCAGCCUCCAAUCAGCACCCUCUCCAAGAAAAUGCAAGAAAAUCUGUUCAAUGCCACAGCCUUGUAUUUUCAGUCGUACUGUAGAUAUUUAGAGUUUGAGUGAAAUCUGUGUCUCUUGCUCUGACUGCCCUGUGACAGUCUACAGCCAGUCUCUAACUUUCCAAAAAACACUUCCAUAGUAGCUUAAACCCCCCAGCUGGCCUAGGCUUCUCAGUCAAAUUCCCUCUGGCCUUGAGCAAUUGCCACGUGUGGAGUUACGGCUGCUGUAAGCAAGACUGACAGGGAAGAAAAGAAGACAGGAAAAAGAGAGGUCCCCUGUGUUGGUAUAGCUCUUUGUGUUCUGUUCUCCUGGUGAACAUCCUGAUAACAGCACCCCCUGCUGACUAUAUGUGUCAUUACAGCAGCUUAAACUUGCAGGGUUCCAGUAUUUAAUUGAUUAACUUUAAACUCAAUAAUCUUCUGGUGAAACACAGUUUGUGGAACCAACUGCUGGGGGCAGUGUUAGUAAGCUGUGCUGCAAAAAAUGCAUCCUUGUUCAUCUUUUUGAGUGCCAGUGUAAUUUUUUUUAUUAUUUCACCUUGAAUUGAUACUGGGCAUUUGGAGGGCAUGACAAGGAAAAACAGAACGCUGGCAAAUAAUUAUUUGAGAUUUUUUAUUCACCAUUAACAUUCCUACAGAUUACUGGGAGUUUUUAAAAAGAAAUGCAUUUUUUUUUAAUAUAUAUAUUUUUGGGGCUUUUUUAGCUUUAUUAGACAGGAUAGUGUAGAGAGACAGGAUGAACUGAGAGAGAGGGAGAGACAUGCGACAAAGGUCGGCGGUCGGACUCGAACUGCUGACGUCGCGGCUCGCAAUGAGCCUGUGGAAAGCACUCUAUAGGCUACGCCACUGGAGGCCCCAAGAAAUGCAUAUUUUCAUAAAUCUUCAGAACAAAAAUAAUUGUUACAUGUGAUUGUAUGCAUUGGUAAGUAAAAAUUUUUCUGGGGAAUCAUAGUGAUCUGCAGGAAUGUUUCUCAGAUUUUACUGGAAUCCUAAGUGUUUCAGGUACAUAUUUGAGCACAGGUUGGUAACUGACUGUUAUCAGGAUGAUCCAAGCGCCAGGCAGGCUCCCUUUCAUAUCGAUGUGGGUAAGGGUUAGGUUAAAUGUGUCAGAUCCUCCUCUCAUUACGCUUUGUGGAGCCUCUCCACCUCCCUAUCUUUUGCUCUCUUUUGUCACACACACAAACAUACACAUUCUCAAGCACACACACGUGCGUACACACAGACACACACAUACUCAAGCACGCACACAUGCGCACGCACACACACACACACACAUUCAAGCAUGCACAUGCACGCGCGCGCACACACACACACACACAUACUCAAGCACGCACACAUGUGCACGCGCACACACACGCACGCACACAUACACGCACACAUGCGCAUGCACACACACACACACACACACAUUCAAACAUGCACGCGCGCACACACACACACACACGUACUCAAGCACACACACAUGCGCAUGCACAUGCACGCACACAUACUCAAGCAUGCACACACACACGCACACAUGCGCAUGCACACACACACACACAUCAAGCAUACACAUGCACGCGCACACACAUGCACCCACACAUACUCAAGCAUGUACACGCACGCGCACACACACAUACUCAAGCACGCACACGCACACACACGCACACACACAUACUCAAGCACGCACGCACGCGCACACACACAUACUUAAGCAUGUACAUGUACACACACAGGCAAACGCACAUACCCAUGUACACGCACACACACGCAUGUACACGCACACCCUCGCACACACACGCAUGUACACGCACACCCUCGCACACACAUUCUCAAGCACACGCACGCACACACGCGCAUGCACACACACAGACGCAUGCGCUGCACACACAAGCAUGCAUGCACACACACACACAUUUACACACUCACGCAAACACGCACACUCACACACACAACCAUGCACACACAAUCAUGCUUGCACCCACAAAUAUACACUCACACACACAAACACGCGCGUGUGCACACAAAAACACACACACACACACACACACACACACACACACACAGAUGCACACAGGCAUAUUCACACAAAUACACACACUACAUGGUCAAAAGUAUGUGGACAGCUGACUUUUCAACAUCUCAUCCAAAAUUAUGGCCAUUAAUAUGGUGUUAGUCCACCCUUUGCUGCCAUACCAACCUCCACUCUUCUGGGAAGGCUUUAUACUAGGUUUUGGAGCAUUGCUGCAGGGAUUUGCUUCCAUUCAGCCUGAAGAGCAUUAGUGAGGUCGAGCACUGGUUGGGCUUUGCGAUUAGGCCUGGCUUUCCAAUUGAUCCCAAAGGUAUUGGAUGGGGUUGAGGUCAGUGCUCUGUGUUGGCCAGUCAAGUUCUUCCACACCAUUUUUGACAAAAUUAUUUCUAUAUGGACCUCCCUGUGUGUCCGGCGGCAUUGUCAUGCUAAAACAGGAAAGGACCUUCCCCAAACUGUUGGGGAAGCACAAAAUUGUCUAGAAUGUGAUUGUAUGCUGUAGCAUUAAAAUUAGCUUUCAAUGGAACUAAGGGACCUAGCCAAAACCAUGAAAAACAGCCCCAGACCACAUACUUUUGGACACACGCGCGCACACACACACACACACACAUAUGCAUGCAUGUACGCACGCACGUCGUGCACACGAACAUGCUCAUACAUGCACACACACACACACGUAUGCAUGCAUGUACGCACGCACGUCGUGCACACGAACAUGCUCACGCAUGCAUGCACACGCACGCACACACACACACACACACACACAUAUACCACAUCACACCAUCCUGCUUUUCAUCCUACUGCUGCCAUCCUGUUUUCUGGUGUGGGCGUGACUCUGCCCUUGGAGAUGAAUGGCAGCUGCAUCCUUCUGCAGAGUGUGACUGCAGUCAAGCAAGUGCAUGCCAACAUGAUUCUGAUUCUCCUGGGUACAUGAUUAAGAGUGUAUGAGAGAUUCAGCGCUGUUAAAUCACUGUUAUCAUUUUUAGGAGGAUAGUGGCUGUAGUGCGGUACAGUAUUUCUGAAAUUGUCAACAGCCCGUCAGAGAGCUAGGAUUUAGGGUCCAAGGACCAUCCAGCAAAGGUGUGUGUGUGUGUGUGUGUGUGUGUGCGCACGCACUGGGCUGUGUUUGUGUGUGGGAAGGUGGGGUGUGUGUGUGUGUAUUUUAGUGUAAAACAUUUGUGUUGUAUACAUGGAUGUGUAUGUGUGAAUGUGUGCUUUGGUGUGUAUGUUUUCAAUAUGUGUUCACAUUUGUCUGUUUCGGUGUUCUGGAUUUUUUGAAUAUGUGAGUUAUGCAAGUACGGUAAAGACUGGAUGUUCUUAAUUUCCCCAGCAGGACAUGUAUAAUGACCUUGGUACACUGGGAUAUCGUGCCUCUGUAUUUAAUUUAGCAUAGCAUAACAUAGCAUAACAUAACAUAGCAUAGCAUAGCAUAUCAUAGCAUAGCAUAACAUCAUAACAUUACGACAGGAACAGGCCAUUCAGCCCAACAGUGCUGACCGUUUUCCUGACUAAAUUGUACCUUGUGCUCUGAUUACCUAUAGUAAUCAGUACCUAGUAAUCAGACUAGAUAGUAUCUAACACCAUAUCAAGCCUGGCCUUGAAAACCCAGUUUCUGCCUCUACUAUGUGAACUGGCAGGCUGUUCCACACAUUGACCACUCUCUGCGUGAAAACAUUCUUCCUAAUGUCUGUAUGGAAUUUACCUUUUGAAAUUUCCAUUUAUGUCCCGUUGUUCUACUAACAGAACUCAGAAGAAACUCUUGUAGCUCUCUUUGUCGAUCUCCUUUGUGAAAUUAAAAGUCUUAAUCAAGUCUCCCCUAAGUCUCCUUUUACUAAGCUUGAAAAGAUUAAGCAUAAGACUUUCCUCAUAGCUUUUAUUUUUCAUACCAGGAAUAAAUUUGUUUGCUGUUCUUUGAACAUUUUCCUCUAGAUCUUUCUUGUAGUACGGUCCUCGGGAUAGCACACAAUACUCCAAGGAUGGUUUAACAAAUGUCGAUAAGAUAAGAAUAACUUCCUUGGAUAUCUACUCAACACUUUUGGCUAUGCAUCCAAGCAUCCAGUAGCUUGUCAUGCCUCCUAGUAUGACUUAGCAUAGGUUAGGUCAGAGUAAUGUUUACUGUGUGAACUGGACUUAAUAUGUUCAUGGCUAUGAAUAACUGUUACAAAAUUAGUAUUGUACCUUAAUGGACCUGUGUUUUGUAGUUGUUCCAAUGACCUCCGGUAUACACUUAUUGUGCGUCACUUUUGAUUAAAGCGUCUGCUAAAUAAAUGUCAUUUAAUGUAAUCCUGUUGUAUGUAAUACUGCUCAGUGCCUAGUAUCUGAAAGGCUUUGAUCAUCCAUUACCCCCAAAUUUUUUUCAAAUUGAGCACAUUCCAGUUUUGUUCCUCUCAUAAAGCUGUCCUGUUUUAUGUUUUUAUUUCCCACAUGCAGAACUUUAUAUUUGGCUAUAUUGAAUUUCAUUUGCCAGGUUUCCGUCAAUUUCUGGAUUUUUAAAAAAUCUUCUCGGAUUGCUUUAUUAGAUUCUAAACUAUUAGCUGGGACCCCCAGUUUUGUAUCAUCUACAAAAUUUGGCUAAUGAACUUUCUAUGUCCCUGUCAAUGUCAUUUAUAUAAAUGAGGAAGAACAUUAGUCCCAGCACUGAUCCUUGUGGGACUCCGCUUCCCACAGUUCCCUGCUCAGAUAAUAUCCCUCCUACUACUUACUACUCUUCGUGUUCUACCCUGUAUCCAGUUCUGAAUCCAGUCUGAAUACGUCCUCUAAUUCCUAUUGUCUUCAUUUUGCAAACAAGUCUCUCGUGCAGUGCCUUAUAAAAUGCCUUUUGUAAAAAUCAGAGUAGAUAAUAUCAUAUGCCUUGCUAUAAUCAAAACACUUUGUAGCUUCUUCAAAGAAUAUCAAGAGGUUUGUCAGGCAUGACCUUCCCUUGAAAAAACCAUGCUGGCUCAUUUGUUAUUUUCAAGAAACACUGUAAUUUCCUGGAUUUGUAUGGUCCCCCUUCGUAUUAUAUUGGUAUUAUAUUACCUUGUUUCCAGUCCUCAGGUAUUUCUCCAGUUUUUAAAGACGGUCUAAAAACACCUGCCAGUGGUUUAAAGAUGAUCACACCUAACUAUUUGAGUAUUCUUGAGAAUAUGCCAUCAGGGCCUGCUGUCUUAUUUGUCUUUAGUUUAUGUAAUUUAUCCAGUACUUCUUCAUCCUCUAUCUCAACAUCUGCUAAGACAUUCUGAGUACUGCAUAUGCCUUCUAGUCUAUUAGUAACCCCUUUUCUAGUAAUACUCUCAACAAAAUAACUAUUUAAGGCAUCAGCGAUAUCUUUAUUCUUAUAAAGCUCCUCGUUGUCCUGUUGCAUCUGAUAUCCUCCUUCACUUUUA